UACAGAGGUCCCGAGCGUUGUUCGGAUUCAUUGGGCGUAAAGGGUGCGUAGGCGGCGGGGAAAGUCUGAUGUGAAAUCCUGGGGCUCAACCCUGGAACUGCAUUGGAUACUUCCUUGCUAGAGUACUGGAGAGGAAACUGGAAUUUACGGUGUAGCAGUGAAAUGCGUAGAGAUCGUAAGGAAGACCAGUGGCGAAGGCGAGUUUCUGGACAGUUACUGACGCUGAGGCACGAAGGCCAGGGGAGGCAAACGGG
rnacentral:rRNA from 1 species